AUAGUAGACUGCUCGGUAUGAAUGAGUCAGGAUUCAGGAUCAAGCAAAUCGAACUUGCUUGUCACGACCCAAACUUGUUAAACAUGUUUAACAUUUAAUCAAAGGGAUGUUUGGUUCUCGACCACAACUUGGCACACUAAAGGCUGGCUCGCCAUAUAUGUUUAGGCAGGUGUUUGGUUGCUCAUUUAAGUUAGGCUCGCCACAUUUUCAUGAAGUGCUCGCCACAAUUUUUCUUCAUACGAAUGUAUGGCACGUCCGCCACAGUUGUGGCGCCACUUUUGUCCGCCAGAGAUUGUGGCGCCGCCACAGUUAAUGUGGCUGGUAGGGGUGGCAAUCCAAACAGCCCCUAAUAGCAUCAUCAAGCAUAAUGAAGCAUCAUGUGGCACCUGUUUGCAUGCAUUUUUUAAAUUGUGUGUCUUGUUUGAUUCAAUGCUUGUGAAGUAUGUCUGAUUUUCUCUAUGCAACUAUGCCUCCAAAUAUUUUAUUCAAAUACUAGAAUUCAAAUUCCAAAUUUAAAUAUUUUUUGGAAUUUUAGGACUUUUGAAUCGAGCCAUAAAUUCUUGGAAAACUCAAAAACAGUCAAUUUGUUUUUUACUGAAACCAAUCUACAAAGAUUUUUUGGGUGGUUCUUGUUGUAAAAUGGUCUUGGUGAUUUUAUCUAGCUCGAGUAAAAAUUUUGUAAUUUUUGGAGCCAGAAAGAAAGGUCUUGAAUUCGAAUUUGUUCCACUCUGACCGGGCCCACUCGUCAGCCACCCCUUCCCCCUUCCACCGCACCCCCUCGCACGCCCGUUGGGCAGCAGGGGCGGCGGCGCCCCACCGCCGGCUGCCAUUGGCCAGCGUGGUCGGUUGCCGCAGCACCCCCGUCGCCCGCUCGCCUCUCUCAUUCCUUUUAGUGCCGGCCCCUUCCCUUUUGCCCAAACCCUAGCCACCAUCUCCUUCCUCCUCCAUCAUUGCCGGCCACCCCGAGCUCCUUGCCACCUCCGAUUCGUCGUCUCCGGGUCCCCUCGCCGGAGCUCUUCACCCGCCGCCGCAUGACCUUGCCCGACCGCCACCAUGCCGCCGUUCCGCCCCGUCCAGGCUGCCGGUGAGUUUCGCCGGCGCACUGCUCCGCCCUCCGCCGCCCAGCUUCGCCGCGCCGCCUCUCGCCGUCGCGCCAUGGCGCGGGCGCCGCGCCCCUUUCUUAUUCCAGCCAUUAUUAUUGAAGAACUCCAUCAAGAUUGUUUCCAGUCUUUGGCAACAGUUGCUUAGAGCAGUUCUCUCUUCCUCUUUAGAAAUGAUUGACCAGCUUCUUGUCCAGUAGGUCCCUCUGAAAAUUACCUGCAAAUAGGAGUUAGGUCUCUUUUUUUCAAAGACAACUUCAUUUCGACUGAGCCAAAUGGCCCAACAGAGGGCAGACGCCCCUACAAGCACUUGAUUUCUCAGUUUGUUUGGAAAACUCUUUAUCCACGCUCCUAAUAUGUUGGCUAUACUAGUCGGUGUCCUGAUAUUAAAGGCCACACUAACCGCAUUCCAAACAAAUCUUGCCAUAUGACAAUCAAAAAAUAGGUGUUGUAUGCUUUCUUCUCAGUUACAGAAACUGCAUUUUGUACAACCUUUUCACUUCCUCUUAGCCAGGUUAUCCUUUGUAAGAGUUGACCACUUUAUACAAAAACCAAAGAAAAAUCUUGAUCUUGAGAGGUAUUCUUACUUUCCAGUUAAAGCCAUUUGAAGGUAAUCCUUCAUUCUGCAUUAGAUUAUUGUACAUCGACUUGACAGUGAACUUUUUAUGGUUAGUUAGAUUCCAAAUGAAAAUGUCUUUUCCAUUCUGGAGUUCGCAGCUAGCUAUUUGCUGCACCAGCUGAAACUAAUUUAGGAGCCUAUUCCCUGUAAGGGCUCUCCUAAAGGAAAUGUUGAAAGGGACCGAGCUAAUAAUCUUAGCUACUGUGUCACUUUUGUUCCUAGCAAUACUGUACAGGGAAGGGUAAGCUUCCUUUAGUGUUUUAUCACCUAUCCAUAAGUCUUCCCAAAAUCUAGUUUGGGUGCCACUCUGGACUUUAAACCUACCCCUGCUCAAGAAAAGGUCUUUAACUUCCAUAAGCCCCGACCAAAAUUGUGAAUCCCCUGGUUUCUUAUGCGCUUGGGACAGCGACUUGUUGUUCAAGUAUUUCCUUCUGAGCACAUCUUGCCAAAUUCCAUCCUCAUUAAUUGGUCUGAAAAGCCACUUGCUCAAGAGGCAAAUAUUUUGCAUUUCAAGGUCUAUUAUUCCCAUUCCUCCCAAACUUCUUGGUUUGCUCAAAAUAUUCCACUUGAUGAGCCUAUAUUUCUUUUUGUGAUUAUCAUAUUGCCACAAAAAGCGAGAUCUAUAAUAGUCUAGUUUUUUCCGCACUCCUUUCGGUAAUCUAAAAAAAGACAUCAUGCACAUUGGUAAGCUAGAAAGAAUGGAAUCAAGCAGGACCAACCGCCUGCCGAAAGAUCGGAGCUUGCCUUUCCAACUUCCUAACUUUUUCUGAAAUCUCUCCUCUACAGCACCCCAAUGCUUGCUAGAAAUCUUAUGUGUGUUCAUUGGGAUACCUAAAUAUGUAAAAGGAAAAGCUCCUUCUUUACAUCUGAGAAUUUGUGUAAACUCACCCGCAUGAUCUUUAGCCUCCCCAAAACAAAAUAUCUCACUUUUAUGGAAGUUGAUCUUAAGGCCUGAUAACUUUUCAAAGGCACUUAGUACCAAUUUCAAGGUCUUUGCCUGUUCUAGAUCGUUUUCCAUCAUCUGCGUAUUGCAGAAUUGAGGGACCUCCCUCCACCAAAUGAGGCACUAGUCCCCUGAUUUGAUUGAUCUCCUUGGCUGUAGAGAUUAGAAUAGAAAGCAUAUCCGCUACGAUAUUAAAAAGGAUAGGGGAAAGCGGAUCCCCUUGUCUCAAUCCUUUUUUUGUUUGGAAAUAAUGCCCUACAUCAUCAUUAAGUUUCACACCAACACUGCCGCCUUCUACUAAACUUUGGAUUCAUUCACACCACUUUUGGGAAAAACCUUUCAUUCUUAGUGUUUGCUGUAAGAAAUUCCAAUUAACCUUGUCGUAUGCUUUCUAAAAAUCAAUCUUAAACAAUCUGAGCAGACACCCUUUUGUCAGAAGAAACAUUGAAUUAAUUUAAAUAACCAAGGAGAAGAAACAAUUGGAGCAUCAAGCUGCAAAGCAACAAGAUGGAUAUAUAGCAGUUACUUGUACUUGCUCAAAACCUAAGCAUCUCAGUUUACUUAAGCAGGCAACAUAUAGUAACUCACAUACCUAAGUUUGCUUACACCUGGAUAAAUAUUCAUCAUAAAUAUCACAUUUAAAUAAAUCACCAGAUCCAUUCAUACACGAUGAUGCAUCAAAUUUAGGUUUGGCAAUCAUAUAAUCAUGAAAACACAAAAUGAAAUGUAGUUGUCACCUUCCAAGAUUAGUUUCAUGCGAUUUCUGACUGUUUUUUUUGUAUUUGUACAUGUCGACUGGACAUUUACAAAAAUUGUCCUAUUUACAUGAGAAACUUGGUAGCAGAGAAGGUUUUUUAGAGGUGGUAGAGAAGUAGUCACGGACUAUCUGGCAAGACCUGUAUGAUAAAAUAGGUAGGCCUUGAUGCCUUUUGCUGGGUACCAUUGUCAGUGAUCUCUGGCAGAAAAAAAAGAAGAAAGUUAAACAAAGAAGGAAUGAAAGAAGGCCCAUCCAGCCCAAUUGGUCCAACUAUUUCAGUCCGUCCAUCGCCGAUCCGAUGGCUAAGGUUUGCAUUCCCAUGGUAUAUAUUAUGCUGCCCCAGCCGCAAACCCUAACCUAGGUCUUGCUCCUCUUCCUCCAGUACUGCGACGGACGCGCCCCAUUCCCAGAUCCCGCACCCCGCCUGCCCCCGCCCUCCACUUCCAUCUCCGGUCGCGCCCCCUUCUCUGGCGGUGCCAGUCCCCCAAUCCCCUCGCCGCCGCUCUCGCUCGUGCCUUGCCCGUGCGUGCCGCCCCCUCUCGGGCCAUCCGUCCACCUUGCUGCUGUUGUUGCUAUUGCCGUCCUCCCCUCGUUAGUGGGCGGGAAUGGCACGGCCGGCGGCGGCACCGACGGCGACCCCAAGGCGGUGUUCUCGUAGAUCUACACCAACUUGACUGGAUCCGUGGCCACCGGAUCCAUCGCUGCCGUAUCGUCCCACUGGGAUUUGGAGAGGCGGCCCUCCCCUCCGUAUGCUCAUCCUCCUCAUAGGAGGGAAAUACAUUACCAUGGCGGGCAGGCAACUCGCUAAUCCAUCAUGGGCGGAACCGUGCUAUCCCUAGAGCCGUCCACUUCCGCAAUGAUGGUUGAGGACGGCGAGUAGACCUCGCUCAUCCAUGGAUCUGCGUCAUCCACCUCUUGCGUCCGACAUCUCCGGCGGCUCCUCGCCCAUCUCGCGCGGCGGCGACCACUGCCCUCUUCUCUGCUCCAAGAUCCACGCAUUGCGCCCUCGUCCCCUCUCCUGGCAAUCCUCUCCUCUAUGCUUCUCAUCAAUUUCGUGCAGACCCUAAUCCCCUUCCUCUUUCUCAUCUUUUUCGAUUUGCAUCGUCAAUUUCGUGGAACUCGUGGUGCAGAGGCAAGUAAUUUAUGUACCCCCUCUUGAUUUGUUCCUUUUCAGCAUCUAAUUGCAUAGGAUUACAUGUAAAUCUCGUAGAUUCCUCACACCUUUGAUCUAUGAAGGAAUCGAGUGGAUCUGCUUGUCCUCGCUUCCGUUCUGCUGGGUUGAAUUCUUGCCUGCUGCUAUGGUCCAGCCGCCCUGGAUAAAAAGGUCAAAUUCAACCUUGACAUAGUAAGCAAAUUCGAAAAAACUGGAGAAUUAGAACAGAAGCCAUGGAACAGAAUUAGAACUGAAGAAAAUCGAGAGUUCUCUGUUCUUUUUUGUUCAGCACGGCAACAAGUUGCUAAUAAAAAUUCUUGUUGGAUGAAAACUUGUACUUGAUGUGUUGGAAGAAAGACUUUGUAUUUGAUGUAAUACUGGAUGAAAAGUUGUUGUAUUUGAUGUGAUGCCUGUUCUGUUUAAUUUUU